UUGUUGCCUGUGCUUUUCAGGUUUUAUUCAUAAAAUAUUUUCUCAAACCAAUUUUCUGAAGCAUUUCUCUGUUCUACUUAAUAGUUUUAUUAUAUUGGGUCUUACAUUUAGUUCAAAGUGGGGGUCUAGUUUCAUUCUUCUGCAUAUGGAUAUCCAAUUUCCCUAGCACCAUUUAUUGAAGAUAUUGGCCUUUCCCCAGUGUAUGGUCUUGGCAAUUUUUGACAAAGAUGGAAAAGCAAUUCAUAGGAGGAAUUACAACUUUUUCAACAAAUGGUGCUAGAGUAAUUGUAAUUUAUAGGCAAUAAAAAUGAACAUAAACCUAAACUUCACAUGUUAUACAAAAAUGUAAAAUGCAUUAUGUAUUUAAACAUAAAACAUAGAACUGUUAAUCUUUUAGAAGAGAACAUAGGAGAGAAGCUCUGUGACCUAGUCUUGCAUGAAGGGUUCUUAAAUAUAACAUUAUUAGUAAGAUUCAUAAAAGAUGAAAAUGAAUAAAUUGGACUUCACUGAAAUUAAAAACUUUUGCCUUCAGAAUAACACUGCUAAGGGAAUGAACAGACAAGAUAGAAGCUGGAGACACAAUAUUUGGAAACCACUUCCCUGACAAAGGGGUAGCAUAUAAAAUACAUAAAGAACUCUCAAAACAAACAGCCUGAUUAGCAAAUGGCAAAAAAAUUAAAGCCAUGAUGAGUUAUCACUACAUACCUAUCAGAAUGGCACAAAUAAAAAUUACGACAAUACCAAAUACUGUUAAGAAUGUGAAGAGAGUGGAUCUCAUUUUGUUGCUGGUGGUAUGUAAAGGGGCACAGUCACUCUUGAAAACAGGUUGGCAAUUUCUUUAUAAACUAAAUAUGCAGCUAUCAUAUCAUUCAGCAAUUCCACUUUGAGGGAUUUAUUCAGGGAAAUGAAAACUUAUUUUUAUAGAACUUGUACAUAAAUAUUCAAAGAAGUUUUAUUUAUAAUAGGCAGAACUGGAAGCAAUCCAGAUGUCUUUUAAUAGAUGAAUGGUUAAACAAACUGUGAUAUGUCAAUGUUUAUUCAUGAUCUAUUUGGUGUCACAAGACUCAACCAGGUGCUUAAAUACAUUUGUGACUUAAAUUUCAUAAUGUAAAUAUUAUUAUCCUAAUUUUGUAGAUUAGAAAUUUGAGUUUAAGGGAGUUUAAUAGCUUAGCCAAUGUCAUUCAGGGCAAAGGCUAGAAUUUUCAACCUGAGUUCAUGGUAUUCCAAAACCCAUUUAUAUCCCACCACAGGAAGCUGCCACGAAAAUUAGGUGAGGGACUAUGUGUGCUUGUUAUUCUUUGUAAUCGAGAAGGAUAUAACUAAUCAUGUUAUACCCUGUCUAAGGACUACUUCUGUCAUUACAUUUUCAGCCCAAAGUGAUUGCCUAAGAACAGACUUUCUUAUUCAGUAGUUUCCAUUCAAUGCAUUUACCUAGGUAGGUAUCUGCAAAGUCAUGGCAUUUGAUGAGACUUCACCAAGAAAGAGAAUAGGCUUAAACUCUCUUCUGUUGACUCAUUUAACUAAGUAACAGAACUAAUGCUUAUUCUUUUUCAUAAUUAGGUUUGCAACCUCAUUUUUGGAGCCUAAAACACUCAUUUGAUCACAUGGAUGCCUGGAAUGACUUUGUUUUACAAUGCAUUUCCUUGUCUUCAGAGUCAACUAAAGCACAACCAUUGAGGUCCAUCCCCAGUUAUGGAACAGAUUAUGGGAAGGAAAAUGAGUUUCAGAAAGUUGUUCAGGUCACACAUGUGAAUGGAUCUCAUGAGAUCUGAUGGUUUUAAAAACAGGAGUCUCC